rnacentral:lncRNA from 1 species
UGAAGAUGGAACAGACGACUUUCAAGUUGUCUUAUAUUGUUUUUCUCUUUUCUGCUACUUGGGUUUUUCCCUCCUGGUGUUUAAAAUCUGAGACUAGGUGUAAGAAUCCAUGUCUCCCGAUUUGAUGAACUCUUGGAAAACAUUUCUGCCUCCUGCUGGUUGCAUUUUCCCUGCAAAAAAUGUUGUCAAGAUGUUUGAAGACGUGUUAGUAGUUGGCGAGAGGAUGCCUAAUGAAAAGAAGCAACAAUAUUGUCAGUGACUAUGUCAGAAUUAUGUGUGGAUGUUCCUUUUCCCUUUGCCAGCAGUCCUCAUCUCUGAACUCUGGAGAAAACGGUAAUGAUUUUGAAGAACAGAUGUAACCAUCAGUUCCACUAGCCCAUCAAUGUAGAAGGAUCAGAAGAUCAACCAAAAUUCAAGAUAAGGAAAAUAGAAGGCAGAAGAGUAGGGUGCCUGACCUUCUGUAACUCUGUGGGUGUCAUUAGUGGCUGGCUACUGAGUUUAUAUGGGAAGUGUGGCUUUUUUUGGAAUCAUACGCUAACUUCUUGGUUAUAGCUCCACAGUUACUGCAUUGAUGGUGAUCCAAAGACUUUCUCCUUCUGUUGCUUUUUUCAACUGCUCCUGACCUUGCAAGAGAGCCAUAUUUGAAGUUUAUUUCUAAUAGAAAGGAAGAUCCACAAAACUCAAGUGUCUAUGUGAAUUCAUUUUAACUUAUUUUUGUAAAGGUUGAAGGUAGAGAGGUUUUAGGGGAGGCAACAUUGUAAGAGGGGCAGAUGGAAUAAAUAGCUAAUGAAAUCAACAAGUAUUAAGCACAAAUGAAGGCCUGUACACUAGAUGUUGGGAAGCUAGAAAUGAAUAAGACAUAAUUUGUGUUUUCAAAGUAGUUAGAUUCCAGAAAGAAAGGCAGGCAUCUCAACAUACAAG